rnacentral:siRNA from 1 species
UACUUAAAUUAGAUCGUGAUUCA